rnacentral:rRNA from 1 species
AGUGAACGCUGGCGGUAGGCCUAACACAUGCGAGUCGAACGGCAGCACAGUAAGAGCUUGCUCUUACGGUUGGCGAGUGGCGGACGGGUGAGGAAUACAUCGGAAUCUACUUUUUCGUGGGGGAUAACGUAGGGAAACUUACGCUAAUACCGCAUACGACCUACGGGUGAAAGCAGGGGAUCUUCAGACCUUGCGCGAUUGAAUGAGCCGAUGUCGGAUUAGCUAGUUGGCGGGGUAAAGGCCCACCAAGGCGACGAUCCGUAGCUGGUCUGAGAGGAUGAUCAGCCACACUGGAACUGAGACACGGUCCAGACUCCUACGGGAGGCAGCAGUGGGGAAUAUUGGACAAUGGGCGCAAGCCUGAUCCAGCCAUGCCGCGUGGGUGAAGAAGGCCUUCGGGUUGUAAAGCCCUUUUGUUGGGAAAGAAAAGCAGCAGGUUAAUACCCCGCUGUUCUGACGGUACCCAAAGAAUAAGCACCGGCUAACUUCGUG